rnacentral:lncRNA from 12 species
CAGAUUCCCAGCAAUUCAGGUGUGCCAAACUAGGAAGAAGAAUAAUAAUAUUCUGCGUUUCCCAGUAUCCUGCUGUCUUAGCCAGGGAGUAAACAGUGCAACUGCAGGAGAAAUAACACUUCUGAAAAGUAGUGCAGUAACAAGGGCCAAAUGCAUGUGAAGUGCAAAUAAAACAAGAAAUUAAAAAGCUGGCUUGUAACUUCUGGGAACAUCUUGUUGCCAUGGUGCUUCUAGAAACCUCUUCCUAUCUGCUAUCAGCUUAGUUUUCCCAGUACCAUUAAUUGCUCAGGCCUUAGG